GAUACCCUAUUAUUAUAAAUAUUAAUUUAUUAUCCCUGAUUAUUAAAAGUUAAGUUCUUUAAAAUUAAAAAAUUUGGCGGUAUUUUAGUCUGUUCAGAGGAACCUGUUUUUUGAUUGAUAAUCCACGAUAAUUUGUACUUUAACUUUAAAUUUAUAUAUCGUCGUUUGUAAAAAUUUUAGGAGGAUUUAAAUUUUUGGGAUUUUUAAUUAUAUUGGAUUUCAGAUCAAGGUGUAGUUUAUGUUAAAGUUAAAAUGGGUUACAUUAUAUUUAUAUUUGGUAUUUUAUUUUAAAAAUAAAGUUAAAUUGGAUUUGAUAGUAAAUUUUUUAUUUAUGAAAAUUGAUUUAGCUCUAAAAUAUGCACACAUCGCC
rnacentral:rRNA from 1 species